AGAGUUUGAUCCUGGCUCAGGAUAAACGCUGGCGGCGUGCCUAACACAUGCAAGUCGAACGCUUUGCGCAAGCAAGGAGUGGCGGACGGGUGAGGAACACGUGGGUUAUCUGCCUUCUGGUGAGGAAUACCGGCGAGAAAUCGCCGACAAUACCGCAUAGGCUUGGGCGACCAAGCAAAGUCGCAAGACGCCGGAAGAUGAGCCUGCGCCCGAUUAGCUAGCUGGUGGGGUAAAAGCCUACCAGGGCAACGAUCGGUAGCUGGUCUGAGAGGACGAUCAGCCACACUGGGAUUGAGAACGGCCCAGACUCCUACGGGGGGCAGCAGUGAGGAAUUUUCGUCAAUGGGGGCAACCCUGAACGAGCAACGCCGCGUGCAGGAAGAAGGUUUUCGGAUCGUAAACUGCUUUUCUGUGGGAAGAGAAGGGACGGUACCACAGGAAGAAGCCCCGGCUAACUACGUGCCAGCAGCCGCGGUAAUACGUAGGGGGCGAGCGUUGUCCGGAGUUACUGGGCGUAAAGGGCGUGCAGGCGGUGUAGUACGUUUGGAGUGACAGUGCCUGGCUUAACCGGGCAAGGUCUUCAAAAACGGCUGGACUUGAGGGCCAGAGAGGGACAUAGAAUUCCGGGUGGAGUGGUGAAUGCGUAGAUAUCCGGAGGAAUACCAAAGGCGAAGGCAGUGUCCUGGUUGGCAUCUGACGCUGAGGCGCGAAAGCCAGGGGAGCGAACAGGAUUAGAUACCCCCGUAGUCC
rnacentral:rRNA from 1 species